rnacentral:rRNA from 1 species
AGAGUUUGAUCAUGGCUCAGAUUGAACGCUGGCGGCAUGCCUUACACAUGCAAGUCUGACGGCAGCGCGGGGGCAACCCUGGCGGGGGGGUGCGAACGGGUGGUGGGGGCAUCGGAGCGGGGCCGGUAGUGUGGGAGAGCCCGUGUAAAGUCGGAUUAAUACCGCAUACUGUCUAUGGAGGAAAGCGGGGGAUCUUCGGACCUCGCGCUCAAGGGGCGGCCGAUGGCAGAUUAGCUAGUUGGUGGGGUAAAGGCCUACCAAGGCGACGAUCUGUAGCUGGUCUGAGAGGACGACCAGCCACACUGGGACUGAGACACGGCACAGACUCCUACGGGAGGCAGCAGUGGGGAAUUUUGGACAAUGGGGGCAACCCUGAUCCAGCAAUGCCGCGUGUGUGAAGAAGGCCUUCGGGUUGUAAAGCACUUUUGUCCGGAAAGAAAACCUCCGUCCUAAUACGGUGGGGGGAUGACGGUACCGGAAGAAUAAGCACCGGCUAACUACGUGCCAGCCGCCGCGGUAAUAC